AUAAUUUUGUAAAAUGUUAAUUGCAAUUUUGUUCAUAAAAUGAAUGGUCAUCGUAGAUAAACAUAUCUUGUUUCAGAAAGGAACACUUUAAACUUUGAUAAAAAACACUCAGAUUAUAACAAAAAGUUUUCUUAAAAAUGGCAUCGUCAAUAUACUUGCAUAUUAUAUAAACUAUAUUUAAUUAUCAAUUGACUGUUUACCCUUUUCUUGGAACAAACAAUGUCCUCUUCUCGGUGACGUGUUCCUCAAUACGUAUGCAACAGACUAUUUUUAAUGUCGUUUUGAUUUUCUGUGACUUUGGUUUGCUGUCUCUUUGAUUUGUAACCAAUGUUUCCUUUUGCUUCAUAUUCAUGCAAUGGCUUUUCAAGAAUAAUACAAUUAAGUUUGCAUCAUCCAUUUACUUUACGUUCCGCAAAUAACAUAUUGAAAAUAUAUUUUCAUUGAGUAAUUCAUUGUUGGCGAUCGUGUUCAUUUCAAUUGCUUCAUUGGGGUUAUAGUAAGAGAUUACACAUAUCAAUAAGUUCUGUCUAUACAUUGAUUUAUACCUUGAAAUCGACAGUGAAUGGUCAGUGGGUAACUAGUUUAACGACAAAAAAAUGACUUCAUGUUUCUCAUUGUGAACAUACACAAACCAUAUUUAAGUUGCAUCAUUUCUGGAGUACUUGCAUAUGGCGUAUUAAUAUCUCUCCCUUGCGUUUUGAGGAUUUUGUCAAUAGUUGGUGGAACUAACAGGGAAUCCACUGAACCAAGGGUUCUUAGGUCAAGCUGAAUGUUAUCAAUAGUUGGUGCUACUAACAGGGAAGCCACUGUACCAAGGGUUCUUAGGUCAAGCUGAAUGUUGUCAAUAGUUGGUGCUACUAACAGGGAAGCCACUGAACCAAGGGUUCUUAGGUCAAGCUGAAUGUUGUCAAUAGUUGGUGCUACUAACAGGGAAGCCACUGAACCAAGGGUUCUUAGGUCAAGCUGAAUGUUGUCAAUAGUUGGUGCUACUAACAGGGAAGCCACUGAACCAAGGGUUCUUAGGUCAAGCUGAAUGUUGUCAAUAGUUGGUGCUACUAACAGGGAAUCUACUGAACCAAGGGUUCUUAGGUCAAGCUGAAUGUUGUCAAUAGUUGGUUUUACUAACAGGGAAGCCACUGAACCAAGGGUUCUUAGGUCAAGCUGAAUGUUGUCAAUAGUUGUUGCUACUAACAGGGAAGCCACUGAACCAAGGGUUCUUAGGUCAAGCUGAAUGUUGUCAAUAGUUGGUACUACUAACAGGGAAGCCACUGAACCAAGGGUUCUUAUGUCAAGCUGGAUGUUGUCAAUAGUUGGUGCUACUAACAGGGAAGCCACUGAACCAAGGGUUCUUAGGUCAAGCUGGAUGUUGUCAAUAGUUGGUGCUACUAACAGGGAAGCCACUGAACCAAGGGUUCUUAGGUCAAGCUGAAUGUUUGGUUUGAGCGUUCCUGAUUAUGGUGAAUCCAAUAAAAUCGCUUUGGACGCACGAAAAGUGUGUUUUUCUCACUGAAAUAAUUACUUCGAAUAAAGUAUAACAAAAACACCGGACUCAAAGGUAAAUGCAAAUUGGUUGAAGUCCAUUAAAACGGACAAAAUUCGUCAUAAUGGUUAUUGUUCACGAAUUCACAUCUUUUUUUAAUUUGAUAUGUGCCUUAAAUGUACUAAUGUCAAAACUAAGUCUAGCUGUUUUUUAUUCUUUAUGUGGUGCUUUAACAAAAAAAUUACCAAAGUACUCACGAAUAAGUCUUGUUUGUACGUUGCGUUGGACAUGACAUUUCUGUAUUUAUUCUUUUUUCAUAAGUUUUUAUUUUGCUUGUAUAGUUAUCUGUUUGUGGUUUAUUUUUACCAUAUUCAUUUAGGGAAUAUAGGAGCAUUUUGUUUAUGUAGCCCAUACCACCGUUUUUUAACUUGUGAACCAUUUUUGCCGUGCAUAAUGUAUAAGUACGCAGUCACGUUUAUUUUGAUAGUAGAUAUAUAGUAGUAAACAAAUAAAAUGGGAUAUUUAUUGUAAAUUUUAUUCCCGAAUUUGGAACCUUUUCUUACAGGCAUAUACUUUCUGAAUGUUUUCGUAAAAUACUAGUAACCGAUAUUUUCAAUGCAAAAUACAGGCACAAUACAAAAUUUCGAAAACCACGUCAACCUAAAUGUUAGAUUUCUUGGCAGGAAAUACUGUAUGAAAAGAGCAAGUAGUUCGGGUUAACUGCAUAUCAAUUCCGAUACCAGUAAACCAACUGGCCAAAAGUGAGAAAAUGAAGCAGUAUACAUAUAAGAAGUUAUUUGAAGAAUUAAAAAAAAGCAUUCACCAUUCAUCCCGCACUUAUGAUGGCUACUAACUGUGAUAAGUACAUAAGAGGGAGUACCUAUAAACAAGGGUAACAUGAAUCAAGGAGCAAUUGCAACAACUCUUAAUUAAGGACGACUGUUAGGCUGUAUGCACAACGUCGUCAAAGUGAGGACGUUGGCUCCGAAUUUCAAAGUUUAUUUGAUUGAUUGCUGUCAUCAAGGUAGUUUAUUUGAACUGAAAUGAAUGUCACACAAGUUGGAAGUUUGGUGAGCUGUAAACCUGGCUAAACCUACAAUUUUAUUCGAAAGUGCCUGUUCCGUGACAAUAUUAUGAAAAACAAUCUAAAUUGUUCCAAUGAGGAAAGUCUGAAGGGAUUUAACAAGUAGCUAGUAUAAUAUUUUGAAAUUGAAUUUUGGAUAUACCUUAGAUUUUAGUACAUUUUUAAUAUGGGACAUUAAAUGAAAUAUGAACUGAAAUGCAGUUAUUGACAUACAUAUACCUAAUAUCAUAUAUGUUUAU